CAGUAGCCGCGGGAAAACGGAGGGAGCUAGCGUUGUUCGGAAUUACUGGGCGUAAAGCGCGCGUAGGCGGUUACUCAAGUCAGAGGUGGAAGCCCGGGGCUCAACCCCGGAACUGCCUUUGAAACUAGGUGACUAGAAUCUUGGAGAGGUCAGUGGAAUUCCGAGUGUAGAGGUGAAAUUCGUAGAUAUUCGGAAGAACACCAGUGGCGAAGGCGACACACUGGCUCACUACUGACGCUGAGGCGCGAAAGCGUGGGGAGCAAACAGGAUUAGAUACCCCUGUAGUCCCUGUCUCUUAUAC
rnacentral:rRNA from 1 species